rnacentral:rRNA from 1 species
AUGCCAGUGGGUCUUGGGAUGAGACAGUUGGGGUUUAUACCCCCAGAACAAAUGGCACAACACUACCAAUACUUGCUGGCUAAUGUGCCAAAAGGAGGAAUGUUGACAGUCCCUAAUGGAGAAAAAGAAGCCAGUGAUAAAGGGAGUGGAAACAAGAAUGAAGGUGGACAUGGGAAGGAUAUCAUAUGUGGCAAACGCAAAGAGAGUGGACACAUAAGUAAGGAAUGCAGAAAUAAUGUUUUCUGUGUGGUUUGUCCGAGAGGUUCUCAUAGGACAGAAGAUUUUACUAUCCUCAGACAACCAAAACCUAUAGCCAAGUAUCUAGGAAAUGGAGCUAAGGGGUUGGGAUGCCUGCUAGUUCAAAAUACAAAGGAGAUUUCUGUUGUGGAACAUGCUAAUCCAAUGGCUAUACUCACAGUGCAUUCUGGAUAG